UACGGGGUGUUAGGGCACGACACCGGAGAGGGAGCCUGAGAAACGGCUACCACAUCCAAGGAUGGCAGCAGGCGCGCAAAUUACCCAAUCCCGAUACGGGGAGGUAGUGACAAUAAAUAACAAUACGGGGUUCUUAUGGAUCUCGUAAUUGGAAUGAGUACAAUUUAAAUCUCUUAACGAGGAACAAUUGGAGGGCAAGUCUGGUGCCAGCAGCCGCGGUAAUUCCAGCUCCAAUAGCGUAUAUUAAAGUUGUUGCAGUUAAAAAGCUCGUAGUUGAAUUUCGGGAUCAAUUUAUCGGUCGUGCCAAUGGUAUGAACUGGUAUAAUUGGUUUCUCCCUUCUGACGAAGCAUGAUGUCAUUAAUUUGGUGUCGUGGGGAAUCAGGACUGUUACUUUGAAAAAAUUAGAGUGUUUAAAGCAAGCAUUAGCUUGAAUACAUUAGCAUGGAAUAAUGAAAUAGGACGUUUGAUCCUAUUUCGUUGGUUUCUAGGAUCGACGUAAUGAUUAAUAGGGAUAGUUGGGGGCAUUAGUAUUCAAUUGUCAGAGGUGAAAUUCUUGGAUUUAUUGAAGACUAACUACUGCGAAAGCAUGUGCCAAGGAUGUUUUCAUUAAUCAAGAACGAAAGUUAGGGGAUCGAAGACGAUCAGUACCGUCGUAGUCUUAACCAUAAACUAUGCCGACUAGGGAUCGGAUGAUGUUAAUUUUUUAAUGACUCAUUCGGCGCCCUUACGGGAAACC
rnacentral:rRNA from 1 species